rnacentral:piRNA from 1 species
UCAGUGGGUGGCAAACGUUCUCACAGGC